rnacentral:rRNA from 1 species
UACGAAGGGGGCUAGCGUUGUUCGGAAUUACUGGGCGUAAAGCGCACGUAGGCGGAAUGUUAAGUCAGGGGUGAAAUCCCGGGGCUCAACCCCGGAACUGCCUUUGAUACUGGCAUUCUCGAGUCCGGAAGAGGUGAGUGGAAUUCCGAGUGUAGAGGUGAAAUUCGUAGAUAUUCGGAGGAACACCCGUGGCGAAGGCGGCUCUCUGGGACGGUACUGACGCUGAGACGCGCAAAGCGUGGGAGGCGAACGAGGAUA